GCUUUUCUUUUUUCUCGUCAUGGUGUUGGCUUUUAAUGGAAACCAAGAAACUUGAUGCACCGAGCCCAAGAAACAGAAACAGAAGCAGAAGCAGAAAGCUUCAGUGGAAAACAGCUAUCCAGUUAAAGCAUCAUCACAUACAACUGAGAUGAUCUCGGGCACCCCUGCACCCCAGCCUCCUCAGCAGGGUGGGAGAGUGAUGCCCACACUGCUCACCUUGCAAGAAGAAAUGACCAUCGAGCCAACCAGUUCUUGCUGUGUAACCAAGGGUGCUGAGGCCCAGCGGCUGGGCCAGCUGGCUGGGAGUUGCUGAUGGAGGCCAGGGGCUGUGCUCCCUCUGUUUCCAGUGCUCCAGCAGGCAGGCCUGGGAGUGUGCACGUGGUCCUGGGAGAAGCACGACAAGGCAAGUGGAAGAACACAAGGCCUCCAGGGCUUUUCUUGGGGUCGGGGCACCAUUACUUCUGCCCUUUUCUAUCCUAUUGGCCAAACCCAGAGGCCAGGGGCAGGGAAAUGUCCCCUGCCUCUUAAGUGGGGCAACCACAAAGUGCAUGGCAAGGUUCUGGAUGUGUAAUCUUGCUACUCAGAGUAAGGUGGUGCAGUGGAUUGAAUUAGUGUUCCGAUGACCAUAGUGCCAGUCAGUGGACCCUGUGAAUAGUCUCGUGACUUGUAUGCAGUUGAGAAUAAUGUCGGCAGAUGUUGCUGAGCUUUAGCUCUGAUCCAGGUGCUCCGUACCCCAGGCCCUCUGUGCUGCCUCCUUCUCACUUUAUUUGGAGUUGUUUGAGCCCAGUGGCCAUUGCUGAGGAAUCAGGGUGUGGGGCUCAGGGAAGGAGGUGGCUUUGUCUAGGCACUUGGCUUUGCUGCUUCCACUCUGUGUGGCUUAGGGAUUCUCAGUCUCACGAAGGCUCAGUUUUCUCAGGCAUGGCCAGAGGCAGCUGUGUCUGGCAUGGAGAACCAGUCCAGUUAAUGGUUCUCAUUGCUGCAGUUUUGUGAGGCCUGUCCUGGUAGCUCCAGGGCCCACUGUGGACAAGAGUCCUGCACGUGGUAAUGACAAUUUGUCAUAUCAGACUCUAGUUGGUGAGGUCUAGGCCAGUCUGUCUUGUCCAGCACUGCAUAGGGCUAUCAGAGUAAUCCCCAAUUUCUGCUUCCCUCCAGCAACUCUCCUGAUGAAGAGCCCACAAUGGAUCCUAGCCUAUUCUCUCCAGUCUGAAUUUCUCACUCGAUUUGACAUCUGUGCAUAUGCAGUGCUGCUAAUGUCCAGAAGAGAAUGUGCAUAUAAAGAAAUGAGGUGUUCUUCCUCUUUAAAUAAUCAAUAAGUCAUAUGUAAUGCCUCCAGGAGAUUGAUAACAACAUAAUGAAGCCAAUAGUUUGCACGUGUUCUUUCAAUUAUAAUGCUAACCACUUUUAUGAGGUCUAACAUGAAAUAGAGCUGGUGAGGAGCAGGGUAGAGAACUUAAGACCAGCCACCUUUCCUAGUGUGUCCCAUGUGCGGGCUUCGCAGCUCCCGGCAGGUCCAUGGCAGUCCUUGGGUCCCCAGGUCAUUGCUGUGCAAACAAGUCUCCGGCCUGGUGCUCAGCUAAGUUCUUGUAAAUAGGCCUGUGAAUAGUGCUGCAAUAAACAUACGUGUGCAUAUGUCUUUAUAGCA